rnacentral:rRNA from 1 species
UACGGAGGGCGCGAGCGUUGUCCGGAAUCACUGGGCGUAAAGGGCGCGUAGGUGGCCUGUGGAAGUCUGCGGUGAAAGCCCGGCGCUCAACGCCGGGUCGGCCGUGGAUACUCUCGGGCUCGAGCUUACUAGAGGCAGAUGGAAUUCCGGGUGUAGCGGUGGAAUGCGUAGAGAUCCGGAAGAACACCGGUGGCGAAGGCGGUCUGCUGGGGUAAUGCUGACACUGAUGCGCGACAGCGUGGGGAGCAAACAGG